rnacentral:misc_RNA from 1 species
AAAGAUGCAAUCGAUUUGCUUAAGCUGCUGUUAGUUAAAUUUAAAUCUGAUCGAAGAAGGGGAUAUUGGACUCUGCGGCUCUCAAUUGAUUUGGAGCAUGUCGGGUGCCUUGAUGAGAGUCUUGAAGUAGCUGGAAAGGGGUUGCUAGAUUCUUGGGUUCGCGCUGGCUGUAUAGUGGCUUUACAGAGGCGGGUUCUGCGGUUGGGUUCAGG